rnacentral:tRNA from 1 species
GGGGCGGUAGCUCAGUUGGUCAGAGCAUGGGACUCAUAAUCCCUUGGUCGCUGGUUCGAGUCCAGCCCGCCCCA